ACACAACUCUGCUGCCAAGUGAAAAGUGUUACAAUUGAUACAAUGAUACAAUAGAGCUGAAUAGUAACACAAAUCACCGGUAUCACAUUAUCAUGGCCAGAUUCUAAUCAAAUGCCUUUUAAUUGAAGGAGAUUCUUUAUUUUUCAACAAAUAUGGCACGUUUAUCCUGUUGCUGUACAUAGUGAGAUUAUUACUCUGUUUUAUUUUUAAUACUAUGGUAACAAGACUUAUUACUAAGCUGUUGCUAUUUCCCCUCAAUAUUUCUCAGAGGGUUAUAGCCUGUUUUGAAGCAUAUUCACUACAUUGUUGUGUGUAAAUUAAUGAAAUUACCAGUCAUGCAUUAUAUUUGUUGAUUAUAUCCCGAUCAAUCUUAGUGAUAACUUAUUUGUGUAAAUUAUAAUUAUCAUACAUUUACCCAUGCUUUUUUCUUAUUCAUUUCAGGCAUGUCUAGCAUUUCAUCUAUGCUCUGAUUCGAUUCUAUGCUCUGACCCCCCAGGUCAACAACACAAACAGGCAACAGUUCCAUUUCCAGCUAGAAGCUUACAGAAUGCAUAUGAAAAUAAAAACUGUUGAAUUCUGCUAACCAGGGCCUCCUUUCCAGUUCUAACGUCAAAGGAAGGUAGAUACUAUCUGCUAGCUAAGUAGUAGUAGUAGUAUUAGUAGUGGUAGUAGUAGUAGUAUUAGUAGUGGUAGUAGUAGUAGUAGUAGUGUUAGUAGUAGUGGUAGUGGUAGUAGUGUUAGUAGUAGUGGUAGUGGUAGUAGUUGUAUUAAUGGUAGUAGUUGUAUUAGUGGCAAUACUGGUAGUAGUAGUAGUUGUAUUAGUGGUAAUAGUGGUAGUAGUUGUAUUAGUGGCAAUACUGGUAGUAGUAGUAGUAGCAGCAUUAGUAGUAGUAGUAGUGUUAGUAGUUGUAGUUGUAUUAGUGUUAGUAAUAGUAGUUGUAUUAGUGGUAAUAGUGGUAGUAGUAGUAGUUGUAGUAGUAGUGGUAGUAGUAGUAGUAGCAGCAGUAGUAGGUGUGUAGUAGUGGUAGUAGUAGUAGUGGUAGUGGUGAUUGUUGUAGUAGUGGUAGCAUUAGUGGUAGUAGUGGUAGUAGUUGUACAUUUACAUUUACAUAUACGUCAUUUAGCAGACGCUCUUAUCCAGAGCGACUUACAAAUUGGUGCAUUCACCUUAUGAUAUCCAGUGGAACAACCACUUUACAAUAGUACAUCUAUAUCUUUUUUUGGGGGGGGGUUAGAAGGUUUACUUAAUCCUAUCCCAGGUAUUCCUUAAAGAGGUGGGGUUUCAGGUGUCUCCGGAAGGUGGUGAUUGGCUCCGCUGUCCUGGCGUCGUGAGGGAGCUUGUUCCACCAUUGGGGUGCCAGAGCAGCAAACAGUUUUGACUGGGCUGAGCGGGAACUGUAGUAGUAAUAGUAGUAGUGGUAGUAGUUGUAGUAGUAGUGGUAGUAGUAGUAGUGGGGGUGGUAGUGGUUGUGGUAGUAGUAGUAGUAGUAGUAGUAGUAGUAGUGCUAGUAGUAGCAGUGGUGGUAGUAGUAGUAGUGGUGGUAGUAGUAGUAGUAGUGGUGGUGGUAGUAGUAGUAGUAGUAGUAGUGGUGGUGGUAGUAGUAGUAAUGGUAGUAGUGGUAGUAGUAGUGGUAUUGGUAGUAGUAGUAGUAGUGGUAGUAGUAGUAGUGGUAGUAGUAGUAGUGGUGGUAGUAGUAGUGGUGGUAGUAGUGUUAGUAGUAGUGGUAGUAGUAGUGGUAGUGGUAGUGGUAGUAGUAGUAGUAGUAGUAUUAGUAGUAGUGGUAGUAGUGGUAGUAGUGGUAUUAGUAUUAGUGGUAGUAGUAGUAGUAGUAGUAGUGGUAGUAGUAGUAGUAGAAGUAGUAGUAGUAGUAGUAGUAGUGUUAGUAGAAGUAGUGGUGGUAGUAGUGUUAGUUGUAGUGGUAGUAGUAAUAGUAGUGGUGGUAGUAGUGGUAGUAGUAGUGGUAGUGGUAGUGGUAGUAGUAGUAGUAGUAGUAGUAGUGGUGGUAGUAGUAGUAGUUGUAUUAGUGUAAUAGUGGUAGUAGUAGUAGUAGUAGUUGUUGUAUUAGUGGUAAUAGAGGUUGUAUUGGUAGUAGUAGUGGUAGUAGUAAUAGUGGUGGUGGUAGUAGUAGUAUUAGUAGUGGUAGAAGUAGUAGUAGUAGUAGUAGUUGUAUUAGUGGUAAUAGUGGUAGUAGUUGUAUUAGUGGCAAUACUGGUAGUAGUAGUAGUAGCAGUAGUGUUAGUAGUUGUAGUUGUAUUAGUGGUAAUAGUAGUAGUAGUAGUAGUAGUGUUAGUAGUUGUAGUUGUAUUAGUGGUAAUAGUGGUAGAAGUAGUCGCAGUAGUAGUAGUAGUGUUAGUACUAGUAGUUGUAUUAGUGGAAAUAGUGGUAGUAGUAGUAGUUGAUUUAGUGGUAAUAGUGGUAGUAGUAGUGGCAGUGGUAAUAGUGGUAGUAGUAGUAGUAGUUAAAGUAUUAGUUGUCGUGGUAGUAGUAGUAGUAGCAGCAAUAGUAGGUGUGUAGUAGUGGUAGUAGUAGUAGUGGUAGUGGUGAUAGUAGUAGUAGUGGUAGCGGUAGUGGUAGUAGUGGUAGUAGUUGUAGUAGUAGCAAUAGUAGUAGUGGUAGUAGUUGUAGUAGUACUGGUAGUAGUAGUGGUGGUGGUAGUAGUGGUUGUGGUAGUAGUAGUAGUAGUAGUAGUAGUGGUAGUAGUAGUAGUAGUAGUAGUAGUAGUGGUAGUAGGAAUAAUCGUGGUGGUAGAAGUAAUGGUGGUGGUAGUGGUAGUAGUAGUAAUGGUAGUAGUGGUAGUAGUCGAAGUAGUAGUAGUGGUAGUAGUAGUAGUAGUGGUGGUAGUAUUAGUAAUAGUAGUGGUAGUAGUAAUAGUGGUGGUGGUAAUAGUAGUAGUAGUGGUAGUAGUGGUAGUAGUAGUGGUGGUAGUAGUAGUAGUAGUAGUGGUGGUGGUGGUAGUAGUAGUAGUAGUGGUGGUUUUAGUAGUAGUGGUAGUAGUAGUAGUAUUAGUAUUAGUAGUGGUAGUGGUAGUUGUAGUAGUAGUGGUAGUGGUAGUGGUAGUGUUCGUAGUACUAGUAGUAGUGGUGGUGGUAGUAGUGGUGGUAGUAGUAGUAGUGGUAGUAGUAGUAGUAGUAGUAGUAUAAGUAGUGGUAGUAGCGGUACUAGCAGUAGUAGUAUUAGUAGUGGUAGUAGUAAUAGUGGUGGUGGUAGUAGUAGUAGUUGUGGUAGUAGUAGUAGUAUUAGUAGUUGUAGUAGUAGUAGUGGUGGUGGUGGUGGUAGUAGUAGUAGUGGUGGUAGUAGUAGUAGUGGUAGUAGUAGUAGUAUUAGUGUUAGUAGUGGUAGUUGUAGUAGUAGUGGUAGUAGUAGUGGUAGUGGUAGUGUCCUUAGUAGUAGUAGUGGUGGUGGUAGUAGUAGUAGUAGUGGUGGUAGUAGUAGUGGUAGUAGUAGUAGUAGUAGUAUAAGUAGUGGUAGUAGCGGUAGUAGCAGUAGUAGUAGUAUUAGUAGUGGUAGUAGUAAUAGUGGUGGUAGUAGUAGUAGUUGUCGUGGUAGUAGUGGUAGUAGUAGUAGUAUUAGUGUUAGUAGUGGUAGUGGUAGUUGUAGUAGUAGUGGUAGUAGUAGUGUCCUUAGUAGUAGUAGUGGUGGUGGUAGUAGUAGUAGUAGUGGUGGUAGUAGUAGUGGUAGUAGUAGUAGUAGUAGUAUAAGUAGUGGUAGUAGCGGUAGUAGCAGUAGUAGUAGUAAUAGUGGUGGUGGUAGUAGUAGUAGUUGUGGUAGUAGUGGUGGUAGUAGUAGUAGUAAUGGUAGUAGUGGUAGUAGUAGUAGUAGUAGUAGUAGUAUUAGUAGUGGUAGUAGUAGUAGUGGUAGUAGUAGUAGUAGUUGUAUUAGUGGUAAUAGUGGUAGUAGUUGUAUUAGUGGCAAUACUGGUGGUAGUAGUAUUAGUAGCAGUAUUAUUAUUAUUAGUAGUGUUAGUAGUUGUUGUUGUAUUAUUGGUAAUAGUGAUAGUAGUAGCAGUAGUAGUAGCGGUAGUAGUAGUGGUGGUAGUAGUAGUAGUGGUAGUAGUAGUAGUAUUAGUGUUAGUAGUGGUAGUGGUAGUUGUAGUAGUAGUGGUAGUAGUAGUGGUAGUGGUAGUGUCCUUAGUAGUAGUAGUGGUGGUGGUAGUAGUAGUAGUAGUGGUGGUAGUAGUAGUGGUAGUAGUAGUAGUAGUAGUAUAAGUAGUGGUAGUAGCGGUAGUAGCAGUAGUAGUAGUAUUAGUAGUGGUAGUAGUAAUAGUGGUGGUAGUAGUAAUAGUUGUCGUGGUAGUAGUGGUAGUAGUAGUAGUAUUAGUGUUAGUAGUGGUAGUGGUAGUUGUAGUAGUAGUGGUAGUAGUAGUGUCCUUAGUAGUAGUAGUGGUGGUGGUAGUAGUAGUAGUGGUGGUAGUAGUAGUGGUAGUAGUAGUAGUAGUAGUAUAAGUAGUGGUAGUAGCGGUAGUAGCAGUAGUAGUAGUAAUAGUGGUGGUGGUAGUAGUAGUAGUUGUGGUAGUAGUGGUGGUAGUAGUAGUAGUAAUGGUAGUAGUGGUAGUAGUAGUAGUAGUAGUAGUAGUAGUAGUAGUAGUAGUAGUAGUAGUGGUAGUAGUAGUAGUAGUUGUAUUAGUGGUAAUAGUGGAAGUAGUUGUAUUAGUGGCAAUACUGGUGGUAGUAGUAGUAGUAGCAGUAUUAUUAUUAUUAGUAGUGUUAGUAGUUGUUGUUGUAUUAGUGGUAAUAGUGAUAGUAGUAGCAGUAGUAGUAGCGGUAGUAGGUGUAGUGUUGGUACUAGUAGUUGUAUUAGUUGAAAUAGUGGUAGUAGUAGUAGUUGAUUUAGUGGUAAUAGUGGUAGUGGUAAUAGUGGUAGUAGUAGUAGUGGUGAUAGUAGUAGUAGUGAUGGUAGUAGUAGUAGUGGUAGUAGUAGUAGUAGUAGUAGUAGUAUAAGUAGUGGUAGUAGCGGUAGUAUCACUAGUAGUAGUAUUAGUAGUGGUAGUAGUAAUAGUGGUGGUGGUAGUAGUAGUAGUUGUGGUAGUAGUAGUGGUGGUAGUAGUAGUAGUAAUGGUAGUAGUGGUAGUAGUAGUAGUAGUAGUAGUAGUUUUUAGUAGUGGUAGUAGUAGUAGUAGUUGUAUUAGUGGUAAUAGUGGUAGUAGUUGUAUUAGUGGCAAUACUGGUAGUAGUAGUAGUUGUAUUAGUGGUAAUAGUGGUAGUAGUUGUAUUAGUGGCAAUACUGGUGGUAGUAGUAGUAGUAGCAGUAUUAUUAGUAGUAGUAGUGUUAGUAGUUGUUGUUGUAUUAGUGGUAAUAGUGAUAGUAGUAGCAGUAGUAGUAGCGGUAGUAGGUGUAGUGUUAGUACUAGUAGUUGUAUUAUUGGUAAUAGUGGUAGUAGUAGUAGUGGUAGUAGUAGUUAAAGUAGUAGUUGUAGUGGUAGUAGUUGUAGUAGUAGUAGUAGUAGCAGCAGUAGUAGGUGUGUAGUAGUGGUAGUAGUAGUGGUAGUAGUAGUAGUGGUGAUAGUAGUAGUAGUGGUAGCGGUACUGGUAGUAGUGGUAGUAGUAGUAGUAAUAGUAGUAGUGGUAGUAGUUGUAGUAGUACUGGUAGUAGUAGUAGUGGUGGUGGUAGUAGUAGUAGUGGUAGUAAUGGUAGUAGUCGAAGUAGUAGUAGUUGUAGUAGUGGUAGGUGUAGUGGUGGUGGUAGUAGUAGAAGUAGUAGUAGUAGUAGUAUUAGUAGUAGUAGUGGUAGUAUUAGUAGUAGUAGAGGUAGUAGUAAUAGUGGUGGUGGUAGUAGUAGUAGUAGGAGUAGUAGUUGUAGUGGUAGUAGUAGUGGUAGUAGUUGUGGUAGAGGUAGUGGUAGUAUUAGUAGUUGUAGUGGUUGUAGUAAUAGUGGUGGUGGUAGUAGUAGUAGUCGUGGUAGUAGUAGUAGUAGUGGUAGUAGUGGUAGUAGUAGUGGUGGUAGCAGUAGUAGUAGUAGUUGUAGUAGUGGUGGUGGUGGUUGUAGUAGUUGUGGUGGUAGUAGUAGUAGUGGUAGUAGUAGUAGUAGUAUUAGUGUUAGUAGUAGUAGUUGUAGUAGUAGUGUUGUGGUGGUAGUAGUAGUGGUAGUGGUAGUGUUAGUAGUAGGUGUAGUAGUAGUGGUGGUGGUAGUAGUAGUAGUAGCAGUGGUGGUAGUAGUAGUAGUGGUGGUAGUAUUGGAGUAGUAGUGGUAGUUGUAGUAGUGUUAGUAGUUGUGGUAGUAGU
rnacentral:lncRNA from 1 species